CCUACGGGUGGCAGCAGUGAGGAAUAUUGGUCAAUGGACGCAAGUCUGAACCAGCCAUGCCGCGUGCAGGAAGACGGCUCUAUGAGUUGUAAACUGCUUUUGUACGAGGGUAAACGCAGAUACGCGUAUCUUUCUGAAAGUAUCGUACGAAUAAGGAUCGGCUAACUCCGUGCCAGCAGCCGCGGUAAUACGGAGGAUUCAAGCGUUAUCCGGAUUUAUUGGGUUUAAAGGGUGCGUAGGCGGUCGGAUAAGUUAGGUGUGAAAUCCCGAGGCUCAACUUCGGAAUUGCCUUUGAUACUGGUCGGCUAGAGAGUAGUUGCGGUAGGCAGAAUGUAUGGUGUAGCGGUGAAAUGCUUAGAGAUCAUACAGAACACCGAAUGCGAAGGCAGCUUACCAAGCUAGUUCUGACGUUGAGGCACGAAAGCGUGGGGAGCAAACAGGAUUAGAUACCCCAGUAGUC
rnacentral:rRNA from 1 species